GUGCAGCUGCCGGGGGAGCGGCGGUGUGCCGGGCCGCAGGGCUGGGCCCAGGGCCUGUGUGCACCCCAGCACCUGUGCCCUGUGAAACGCAGACCGUGUGCUCCCAAACAAUGUCCCAAUGAACUGUACGGGGGGCAGAGGUCACGCGAACCAUUAUUGUGCUGUAUUUUAUGCAAACAAAAAAAAUGUAUUAGAGGAUGUGCUUUGUAUUGUAACAAGCAGGGGAUCACCUCAGCAGGCCUGAGCGGGGCAGUGCACUGCAGGGAAGGGGGCUUGGAACAGAGAAUAUUUAGGGGAGGAAUGACAGCACUGUGCCAGCCUGCAGCAGCUGCACCAAGUUACUGGAACACCAGAACACUUAUUCUACAGGCCUAGAAGCAAAGGAUUCUAAAGGUGUUUUCAGAAGGUGCCCAUGCUACUGAGAAGUGUAUGCACCAUUUUUAAAAGUGCCUUGCUGAGAGAUGAUGGACUGGGU
rnacentral:lncRNA from 1 species